rnacentral:lncRNA from 1 species
GAGUGACAUUCUUCUAUCUCUAUCAUCUGGUUUCCGAACAUGUGGUUUACUUGGACAACUGUGAGACCACCAUUGUAGAAACAAGCUUGCAAAAGUCAAAGAAAUUAACUGUAACUAAAUUGAAUUUGACAUUGUAGUUUCUGAAUCCUCCUUUGUCAUGAACCUUGCACAAAACAAGAUAGGAUAUUUCUUAGGAAUUGGAUUCCGAUUUG